rnacentral:rRNA from 1 species
UACGGAGGAUGCGAGCGUUAUCCGGAUUUAUUGGGUUUAAAGGGUGCGUAGGCGGCUUUUUAAGUCAGCGGUGAAAUUUUGCAGCUUAACUGUAACAGUGCCGUUGAUACUGGGGAGCUAGGAUUUGGUUGCUGUGGGUGGAAUGUGUGGUGUAGCGGUGAAAUGCUUAGAUAUUACACAGAACACCGAUUGCGAAGGCAUCUCACAAAGCCGUUAUUGACGCUGAGGCACGAAAGUGUGGGGAUCAAACAGGAUUAGAUACCCCCGUAGU